GCGGAGGAACAUGUGGUUUAAAUUCGAUGAUACGCGAGGAACCUUACCCGGGGCUUGAAUUGCAGAGGAAGGAUUUGGAGACAAUGACGCCCUUCGGGGCCUCUGUGAAGGUGCUGCAUGGUUGUCGUCAGCUCGUGCCGUGAGGUGUCGGCUUAAGUGCCAUAACGAGCGCAACCCCUCUCCUUAGUUGCCAUCAGGUUAAGCUGGGCACUCUGGGGACACUGCCACCGUAAGGUGUGA
rnacentral:rRNA from 1 species